AAUGAACGCUGGCGGCAGGCCUAACACAUGCAAGUCGAACGGAUCCUUCGGGAUUAGUGGCGGACGGGUGAGUAACGCGUGGGAACAUACCCAAAGGUACGGAAUAGCCUCGGGAAACUGGGAGUAAUACCGUAUGUGCUCGAAAGAGGAAAGAUUUAUCGCCUUUGGAUUGGCCCGCGUUGGAUUAGGUAGUUGGUGGGGUAAUGGCCUACCAAGCCGACGAUCCAUAGCUGGUUUGAGAGGAUGAUCAGCCACACUGGGACUGAGACACGGCCCAGACUCCUACGGGAGGCAGCAGUGGGGAAUCUUAGACAAUGGGGAAACCUUGAUCUAGCCAUGCCGCGUGAUCGAUGAAGGCCUUAGGGUUGUAAAGAUCUCUCAGGUGGGAAGAUAAUGACUGUACCACCAGAAGAAGCCCCGGCUAACUCCGUGCCAGCCGCCGCAGUAA
rnacentral:rRNA from 1 species